rnacentral:lncRNA from 1 species
UCUUCCGUGUACCACCCGAUCACGGCCGUUCACGGAGACGGGCAUGCAGGUGCAAGGACCGAACCAACCCGUCCGUCCGUCGCACUCACACGCUCGUCACCACGCGUCAUCACGAGCCUUUACAAGCAAGUCGAUCGAUCGCAACCGCUCCACAUUCCCGUGGUUGCCUGCAGCCUCUCUCUCCCCGUCCCUGCCGUGGCUCAUUGUGGCCUCUUGUUGUGGGGGCUCUCUCAUAAGCAAACACAAGUGUUGAAGGAGACGCCUCCAAUCCAUCAUCUCGUGAGUGAGUUGUGUGCGGUUGCAUCGCAUGCAUUGCGCUGCACACCGCUAGCAAGACCGCGGACCGUUCUCCCUCCCUCCCUCAGCGCCGGUCGAUCUCGUCCGGUGCUUCGGCCGGGCGCCGGGCAUGGGGCAGCAGGCGGCGGCGGCGCCGUGGCGGCUCAACGUCAGCGACUUCCAGAUGCCGGAGCGGCCCAAGGAGCCGCCGCCCUUCGCCAGCCGCGUCUUCAUGCGUGGCCACGGUAUGUGCUCCGCCGCAUCGACUCCCAUGCAUCCUCUUUCAGUCUUUCUUCCAUGCAGCGGUUGCUCCACCGGUUGAUCUGUCGUUUCCCUAAAAAAGAGAGAGCUCUCUUUCAGCAUUCCGUGCAUGGCCGAUUCGAUGCGUGCACGCUGCUUCUCACCAAUCAGAUACGGAUUUGACUACAUGUGCUGUAUGCCGUCUCAUGCUUCAUAUAUUAAUACACCUGCUUACUUUCGGAACAAAGUGAGAAGAGUUAUCGUACCAUCUCUUCUCUUACUAGUUAACUUCAAGAUAAUUAUAACAACUAGAGUAGUGCUGCCUGACGAUGAUGGUUUUGCCAUUUCGUCCCACCAACCGUUCCAGCCGGUUCCAAACUACUCCCUUCCAUUCGGUUCUAAACACGAGUGUUUCUAGAGAUUUCAUUAAUUAAGGAUUAUAUAUGAACCAAAAUAAUUGAAUAUAUAUAUUAAAAUAUGUCCAUAUACAUCUAAAAUCCCUAAAAAGGCUUAUAUUUAAGAAUGGAGGAAGCACUUCCUUCAUUCUAUUAUAUAAAAAUGUUUUUAUACUGGUGUGCAUGCAUCCAUACAAGUAUAAAAAAAGAUUCUAUAUCAUGAAACAGAGGAAGCACAGAUCAUCAUCACGUAGGUACGUAGGCCCAACUGGAAACUGCAAACGAAGCUUCCGGGCAUUAUUCGUUUAUUCAUUGUUAAAAAAAACAAUAGCUCGACAAUGAAACAUAGUCCCAAAAAGCAACUGCGAAACAUCUAUUUCCCUUGUUCUCUCCCAAGCCGUUUCGACUGAUGAGCUCCGGUCUUGUCGCGUUGCACGAGAGCGAAGCGCAAACGAAUUUGUUACUAAAGGAAGUGACACGAACAAGGGCGGGGGCAUAUCUUGUGGCCCGUGGAAUUCUUUUCCCGUGCUUACAAAUACAAAAACUGGUUGAUGUUCACGAUGACGGACAUGGAUAUGCGUGUGUCGCGUUAACUUAAAGGAAAAACCUGGAGGCGUGAUGACCUGAUGGAAAGCAACGCGGCGAUCGAGCGCGGCCGUCCGUCCACGUACGUGUUGCGCAUGCAUAUUGCAUAGCCGCGUGCUGGCAACUGGGCGCCAUGCAGCUCCAACCAUGCGCUCUCGGAUGCAUUGCCAACGGGCGUUGGUACUUGGGAUACUGUCGUACUGUCAUAGUUCAGGCAGCAGCAUCACACUUGUCUGCUGCUAGUACAGGCUUCCACCGCCGCCACGGAUUGCCGUGUUGUUGCGCCGGGUGCCGCGGCGUUCGGCAGGGCGCCAACUCCUGCUCCGGCAUUUGCCGUCGUCGAUGACCCGCCAACGAACACGCCGCUGUUUCCUCCACCGCGACCGGCUGCCGCCAACGAGGAGCCGCCGAAGUCCAGUUGUCGACAAAGGCCAGCGACGGAUUCGCCCAUCCGUCUCCUGCUUCGGCACGCGGUGGGCGAUAAGGAGGGAGCCCAGAGCCCCUGACGAGCCCAG